UUCUUGCAAGUGAGUAUUUAAUAAUGAGGAAAAACACAAGAUGAAAGAGAAAAAUUGGAGAGACCCUUUUAUGAGAGAAAAUUAGAGUUUGGGUCCUUGGAUUCAUAAUAUCUUAACACCUUGGAUUUCAUGGCUUUGGCUCCUUCGUCUGUUUUCUUUGGUAGAUUUUUCAUUGGUUUCAUAUUGUGCGCUCAGCUUUUGAAGCUCUUUUCUCCCACAUAUUUCAAUUAUUUGUACGGAUCCACAUCGACAAAUUUUGCUCAAGUUGAUGUAAUUGUGGAGAGCACCCGAAGUGUCAUCAUCCCAACUUCAUUUAGAUGCAAAAAAAAGAGAUUUUGGCUCUCUUCUUCGGCAGAGCAUGGCAUAUAUUACAAGAAGCAGAGGUUAUAUAUGUUCAACUACGAUCUGUUCAUCUGCCAAAAUAUUCCAACAAAACAAAAAUGAUAAUACAUGUCAUCAGUUUCCUUAUAAUUUCCAAUUAACUUGAUACAAAAUUAUAUAUGGAGUAUUUCAAGAGUUGUAAUAUAUAUGCCAACAACUUAUAUGGUACCUAAGCUAUUGACAGAUUCUUUGGAGUUGUGUUGGAAAGAGCUUAAACACGCAAUGUCGUUUUCAAGUAAGUAAAUUGAAUAGGGGCUAAGGAUUAAGGGUUGAUGAAAAUGGAGGGGGAAGAAGGGGAUAGUUCACAAUAUUCAUUGAUGCAGGGCACCUAUUUUAGCUGUUUGAUUUUUUAAGGUUGAAUCAGGAAAGGAUCUUGCUUCAGAAUAUUCGGUGUUGAGGUUGAUGUUAAUAAAACCUGAUUGUUAUAGAUAAGUAGUUACAGCACAUCUUUGUAUCUGAAAAUUAUGGGUUUAUUUAGUUUAUAUUCCUUCUCUUGUUGUUAAGAGUUCUAUUGUGAGUAUUAUUAUGUUAGUGCCUAGUUUUUAGUUUUUCUAUUAUGUAAAAGCCUAUAUAAAUAGGUUCUUGGAUUAUGAAUUAUUUUACUCAUCAUUUUAUUUUUCCCUUUCCUUUUUUAUUUUCAUCUUCUUGUUAUCUCUCUCCAUAAGUUAACAGUGGUGUCAGAGCUAGUUAAAAGAAGAGUAUUUUCGGUGAGAGGAAAAAGUUUGUGGUCCUCUUAUAGCUUCUGAAAAUUUUGUACAACCAGCUAUUCCACAUUUUGAUGGUCACUAUGAUCAUUGGAUCAUGUUGAUGGAGAACUUCUUCCGGGUGUGUGUGAGGCCGUGUGGGCCAUACGGGCUAGCCAAUUCAGCUGUGUGGACCCAUUUUCUGAAAAAAUUCACCUAGGUCUGUUUGACUCUAAAAUUUGUAAUUAGACUUUUGAUAGGGCCAUGCUACUUAAUUAAGGCUUGGAAACAAUGUAUUUGUUAAUAUGCUUAUGUGUAUAAUGUGUUUAAGUUAUGUGGAAUAUAUUUGCGUGAUCUGAUAA